UACGAAGGGGGCUAGCGUUGUUCGGAAUUACUGGGCGUAAAGGGCGCGUAGGCGGCGUGUCAAGUCAGGCGUGAAAGCCCCGGGCUCAACCUGGGAACCGCGCUUGAGACUGGCAUGCUCGAGUUCGGGAGAGGAUGGUGGAAUUCCCAGUGUAGAGGUGAAAUUCGUAGAUAUUGGGAAGAACACCGAUGGCGAAGGCAGCCAUCUGGACCGACACUGACGCUGAGGCGCGAAAGCGUGGGGAGCAAACAGGG
rnacentral:rRNA from 1 species